UGGACACAGCUAUAUUAAGAAAUGUGCUGUCAUUUAUCAGCUCAAAAGUUUGAGUAUUUCUUUCAGCUAAAAAUAUGUAGGGUGAUAGUAUUCUUUUUUCGUUGACCUGUAGCUUGAAAGAAAGCAACAAUGAGAAAGAAUUUCAUGCUAGUAGACACUCUUAAGACUAGAUUUAGCUGCAGUCACAUUAGCUUAGAUAAUGGGAGAAUUUUUCUUCAUUGAAAAUGCUCCCUGUCGCUUAAGAAGAACUCACUGAGGCAGCCUGCCAUCUAGCUUUUUCACAGCAAAACAGGCUUGCAGACUGCAGAUGAGAGACUCGGGAGCAGAGACAAUUUUAACUUAGCCAUCCCUAAUUUAUCUCAAGCUUUUUCAAUUCAUCUUCACUGCUCUGUGCACGCUGGAACACCAGAUUGCCAACCCCUGGGAACAGAAUGCAACCAGGGAUCUAGAGAGCUGUCACAUCCUGAGAAAUAUUUAAAUUGUGCUGAUUUUCUUCUGGAGUGCUGAGCAGAGGGAAUGAAACUCUCCAUCAAGUCAUAGCUUUGCGGGCAAUAGAUCAGAGGAUACUGCCAGUUUUUCUAAUGGAUUAUUGUUAUCGGGCAGGUUCUUCCUGAAGACUUUAUUUAGUGAAGCAGCUGUAGCUUGUGUUUCAUUGUGCAGCCUUGACACAGUAAUUCUUCUGACGACUGUUAGAUUCAUCAAGGUUAAAAGGGAUUUAUAUUGUGCAUUUGCUAAUCAGAUGCUGACCUAUGCUUUGAUGUGAUAACACUGCUACUGGACAGUGUGAAAGGCAUCUCCUCUAGACGGCUGCUCCUCCCUAUCUACCAUCAGCUUGUAUCUUCCAUUUGCCUCUCUCCCUCUGUGAUAGGUACUGUAAUCUCUGUUUCUAUUUCCUAAUCCUCACUACUAAUUGCAACCAAAUUUCCCAUCC
rnacentral:lncRNA from 1 species